rnacentral:tRNA from 1 species
GGAAGGGUCGCAUAGUGGUUUAGUGCACCGGUCUUGAAAACCGGAGUGUCGAAAGGCACCGAGGGUUCGAAUCCCUCCCCUUCCGCCA